rnacentral:rRNA from 1 species
AAAUUGAAGAGUUUGAUCAUGGCUCAGAUUGAACGCUGGCGGCAGGCCUAACACAUGCAAGUCGAGCGGAAACGAGUUAUCAGAACCUUCGGGGAACGAUAACGGCGUCGAGCGGCGGACGGGUGAGUAAUGCCUAGGAAAUUGCCCUGAUGUGGGGGAUAACCAUUGGAAACGAUGGCUAAUACCGCAUGAUGCCUACGGGCCAAAGAGGGGGAACUUCGG